CGGGGCGCGAGGCGGACCAGGUCCGGAUGCUGCGAGUGCUGUGGGCCAGACAAGUGACUUCCACCUGGAGCGGUUUCUGGGCCCGGGCAUGGGGAUUUCCUCACCGGCCCCCUAGGCUUUCACCUCGGUGGAAUUUCCUGCGCCCCCGCUGGGAUGACUUAGGGACUGUUGGCUAGAACUGCCCUUGCCGCCCACCCUACUGCGGGCGCUCCCCUGUCUGGGGGGUGCUUGGCUGGGUGUGGAGAAGGAUCAAUCACAGCUGACUCCUCAGAGGUGACAGCACCUGCCCUCUUAAAAACAAGAAAAGACCUAGCAGUGUGAAGCCAAACUGCACCCCCAGCCCCGUUGACAUGAGGAAACCGUGAGGCGCUCAGCCUGAGGUUCAUCGUUCAUCUCCUUCCUGCUUGGAAUCAGAAUGUCCUCACUGCUGAGUUUCUCCGUUCUAUGGGAUUACAUUAGUGGACAAAGGAGGAGGUCCCAGCCAGGAACACAGAAAGGAUAUGGAGAAAAUUAUUAUUCUGCCCCUACAGUUUUGGUGACCCAGAUGGGAUCUCUGGGACACCCUGCCUGCUCUACCAUUGGGAUCCCUGGAAAAGUGACAGAAUCUGGCAACAG